CCUCCUGCUUGUGGGGGGGUCUACUACCCCCAUUUUAUAGACAGGGAAUGAAGGUGAUGAAGUGACCUCUCCAAAGUCACACCUGGAAAUGCGGAGGAGAUCUGGGAACUGGACUGGGUUUUACAGGAGUGCCCUCCCCAUAGAGGCAGCUUCACUUUCUGCCCUUCGUUCUCUCCUCCCCUCGUGGCCCGUCUUCGAUGGGGAUCUCUGAACUGGAAAUGAGCAGGGGCUUCCUCCCCCUCUGUCUUCCAAUGUCUGGGAUCUGUCCACAGCAACGCAGCCUGCAGCUGGCCCAGCUUGGGGAGCCAUCGCCUCACCCUGUGAAAUCCAGACGUGCUGGCUUUCAGUGAUGCUUCGACGGAAAACCACGCACCCCACACAGAGGAUUCCAGCCGGCUGUUCCAAUCCAGGAUGAAAACUCUGCCACUGAAAUCUCACAGCACCUGUGCAGUGAAGUGCCACUUAAACCCGCUGUGAUGCACAGAGCUUGCCCUGGCUGUCCGCACAGGACUGAAUUUCACCCCUUCAGAGUGUAUUCGAAGGGCACCCCAUGCUUCAUAUGGGCAUUCUUGGGUGGGCAGAUUGCAUCAGACCUGCUCCCGAAUAAAUAAUAGUGAAUGAAAUAUGCAGACACUAAAGUUCUGCAGCCAAAUUCUCAGAAACCUUCCUCUUGAAUGUAGGAUCAGGAUUUUGUUUCUAAUUGAUUUUUUUAAAAAGUGCUAAGCAGAUACUACACUGUAAUAAGAGGAAACAGAAGCAAAAACUGAAAGGAUGUUACUUAAACCAAUGAACAGAUGCAGAGAGUGGAAGCACGGCAAAGCACACCAAUGAAUACUAUGAGUAAAUAACCUGAAAGCAAAUAGGGAAGAAAACCUCAUCUGGGUAAUUGUGGCUCUU